rnacentral:misc_RNA from 1 species
AUCCAUGUUAAGUUCUUCAAAUCUAGCUCUGGUAAUAGUUGUGUAAAAAUCAAUACAGCUAUAAAGGGAAACAAUCUCAAUUGUAGUUUGAGAAGCGGAUGAAAGAGUCCUCUUGGCCCUCUCACAAGCGGUCCUUAACCUCCUCAAUGCUCUUGGGUUACCACUAAUAUCCUUCUUAUGCCUCCUCUUAAACUCCUUAAUGAAGUGGUUC